rnacentral:rRNA from 1 species
GACGAACGCUGGCGGCGUGCUUAACACAUGCAAGUCGAACGACGUGGCGAACGCGGGUGUAAUACGUGGGUAACUUUCCCUCCUUUUUGGGAUAAGCCUUGGAAACCGGGUCUAAUACCGUAUAAAGGGGGAUGGGCUCGCGGCCUAGCAGCUUGUUGGUGGGGUGGUGGCCUAGCAAGGCGGUGACGGGUAGCCGGGCUGAGAGGGUGAACUGCGACAUGGGGACUGAGAUACGGCCCAGACUCCUAAGGGAGGCAGAAGGGGGGGAUAUGGCACAAUGGGCGAAAGCCUGAUGCAGCGAGGCCGAGGGGGGGAUGAAGGCUUGAGGGUUGUAAACGUCUUUCGCGAGCGAACGGGUAGGUGGAGAAGAAGCGCCGGCUAACUACGUGCCAGCAGCCGCGGUAAUAC